rnacentral:rRNA from 1 species
UCGGGAAUUUUGGGCAAUGGGCGCAAGCCUGAUCCAGCAAUACCGCGUGUGUGAAGAAGGCCUGAGGGUUGUAAAGCACUUUCAAUAGGAAGGAAUACCUGCCGGCCAAUACCCGGUAGACUGACAUUACCUAUACAAGAAGCACCGGCUAACUCCGUGCCAGCAGCCGCGGUAAUACGGAGGGUGCAAGCGUUAAUCGGAAUUACUGGGCGUAAAGCGUGCGUAGGCGGUGAUUUAAGUCAGAUGUGAAAGCCCCGGGCUUAACCUGGGAACUGCAUUUGAUACUGGGUCACUAGAGUUGAGUAGAGGAGAGUGGAAUUUCAGGUGUAGCGGUGAAAUGCGUAGAGAUCUGAAGGAACACCAGUGGCGAAGGCGGCUCUCUGGACUCAAACUGACGCUGAGGUACGAAAGCGUGGGUAGCAAACAGGAUUAGAUACCCCAGUAGUCCCUGAGCGGGCUGGCAAGGCGCAU